rnacentral:lncRNA from 1 species
GUUUGAGACAGGAGGAUCACUGUGACUUUGGGAAAGCAUGGAUUCCAAUGUAAGACUCUGUCUCAAACAUAUAAACAAAACAAAAACUGUUGAGCCAGGUAUGGUGGCAGGCACUCGUAAUCCCAGCACUCAACAGGAAGGAUUGCCAUGAGUUUGAGACCAGCAUAGGCUACAUGAAGCUGCCUCAAACGCCUCCCACCCAACUCUCCAACAGUAAAACCAAGAACCAGCAAGGUGGUGCUUCUCACUGAGCCUGAUGGCCUGGGCGGAAGGAAAGAACUGACUCCAAGUGGUCCUCUGACCUCCACUUAUGUGUUUUGGCAUCUGGGGCCAACACACACACAAACAGACAAUCAGAUACAAUUUUAAAGAAUUCCAUUUUAGACUUGUCCAAGAAAAAGUAGAAGUCAUUAGCUCUCAGGAAAUUAUUCUUUGGGGCUGGAGAAAUAGCUUAGUGGUUAGGAGCGCUUUAGGAGGGCUGGAGUUUGGCUCCCCAGCACCCGUGCCAGGUGGCUCUCAACUGCCUGCAACUCCGGAUCCAGGAGAUCCAAACCACUCUUCUGGUUUCCAUGGAUCCACACACACAUUCUCCAUGGAUACACACACACACACACUCCAUGGAUACACACACACACACUCCAUGGAUAUACACAUACACACACACACACACUCCAUGGAUACACACACACUCCAUGGAUACACACACACACACACUCCAUGGAUAUACACAUACACACACACACACACACACUCCAUGGAUACACACACACACACACUCCAUGGAUACACACACACACACACUCCAUGGAUACACACACACACACUCCAUGGAUAUACACAUACACACACACACACACACUCCAUGGAUAUACACACACUCCAUGGAUCCACACACACUCCAUGGAUCCACACACACUCCAUGGAUCCACACACACUCCAUGGAUACACA